rnacentral:snoRNA from 1 species
CUAAGUGAUGAAAACAUAUUUUACACAGACCUGUACUGAACUUUGUCAUGCAGAUAAACGAUAUUGCCUUUUUUUUCUGAUU